UACGUAGGGUGCAAGCGUUGUCCGGAAUUAUUGGGCGUAAAGAGCUCGUAGGCGGUUUGUCGCGUCGGCUGUGAAAACCUGGGGCUCAACCCCGGGCCUGCAGCCGAUACGGGCAAGCUAGAGUUCGGUAGGGGAGACUGGAAUUCCCGGUGUAGCGGUGAAAUGACGCAGAUAUCGGGAGGAACACCGGUGGCGAAGGCGGUUCUCUGGGCCUGUACUGACGCUGAGGAGCGAAAGCGUGGGGAGCAAACAGG
rnacentral:rRNA from 1 species